rnacentral:rRNA from 1 species
CCUACGGGUGGCACCAGUGGGGAAUAUUGCACAAUGGGCGCAAGCCUGAUGCAGCCAUGCCGCGUGUAUGAAGAAGGCCUUCGGGUUGUAAAGUACUUUCAGCGGGGAGGAAGGCGAUAAGGUUAAUAACCUUGUCGAUUGACGUUACCCGCAGAAGAAGCACCGGCUAACUCCGUGCCAGCAGCCGCGGUAAUACGGAGGGUGCAAGCGUUAAUCGGAGUUACUGGGCGUAAAGCGCACGCAGGCGGUCUGUCAAGUCGGAUGUGAAAUCCCCGGGCUCAACCUGGGAACUGCAUUCGAAACUGGCAGGCUGGAGUCUUGUAGAGGGGGGUAGAAUUCUAGGUGUAGCGGUGGAAUGCGUAGAGAUCUGGAGGAAUGCCGGUGGCGAAGGCGGCCCCCUGGACAAAGACUGACGCUCAGGUGCGAAAGCGUGGGGAGCAAACAGGAUUAGAUACCCGGGUAGUC